rnacentral:misc_RNA from 1 species
UCAUAACAAAAAUGGAAAGGAAAACAAUACCUAUUUAUCUAGGACUCCUCAUGCUGCUCCAUGGAAACUUGGCCUUCUCCACCGUGGAGUCACGAACACCACCACGACCUCUCCCAGUUCCCUUCUCAUACCCAAGCCUUUCUUCCUUCUUCCCGUCAAGCCAAUGCUUUUUCCCUUCGCCAUCUUCCAUAACACUAGACCUCCUCUGCUUGUUCUUUCUCUCCUUCUCCUCCUCAAUAACCCUCAAUGGAAACAGAUCCGGAGAUAUCGAAAGCGGGUUUCUCAAAGUCACAUAGGCCUUUUUGUAGUCAGGUUUGGCGAUUAGUAAUCCGCGUAUUUUCUUCUUCUUGCCUUCCAUGUUGAG